AGCAGCCGCGGUAAUUCCAGCUCCAAUAGCGUAUAUUAAAGUUGUUGCAGUUAAAAAGCUCGUAGUUGAAUUUCGGGGUUAGUAGGUUGGUCAUGCCUCUGGUAUGUACUGGUCUCACUGAUUCCUCCUUCCUUAUGAACCGUAAUGCCAUUAAUUUGGUGUUGCGGGAAAUUUGGACUGUUACUUUGAAAAAUUAGAGUGUUUAAAGCAAGCUAACGCUUGAAUACAUUAGCAUGGAAUAAUGAAAUAGGACGUUCGAUCUUAUUUUGUUGGUUUCUAGGAUUGACGUAAUGAUUAAUAGGGAUAGUUGGGGGCAUUAGUAUUCAAUUGUCAGAGGUGAAAUUCUUGGAUUUAUUGAAGACUAACUACUGCGAAAGCAUUUGCCAAGGAUGUUUUCAUUAAUCAAGAACGAAAGUUAGGGGAUCGAAGACGAUCAGAUACCGUCGUAGUCUUAACCAUAAACUAUGCCGACUAGGGAUCGGAUGAUGUUAAUUUUUUAAUGACUCAUUCGGCGCCUUAC
rnacentral:rRNA from 1 species